rnacentral:rRNA from 1 species
CCGCUCCGGCGGCACCAAGGUUGACCUCGGAUCAGGUAGGAAUACCCGCUGAACUUAAGCAUAUCAAUAAGCGGAGGAAAAGAAACCAACAGGGAUUGCCUCAGUAACGGCGAGUGAAGCGGCAACAGCUCAAAUUUGAAAUCUGGCUCCUUCGGGGCCCGAGUUGUAAUUUGCAGAGGAUGCUUCGGGUACGGGUUCCUUCCGAGUUCCCUGGAACGGGACGCCAUAGAGGGUGAGAGCCCCGUCUGGUAGGACACCCAGCCCGUGUGAAGCUCCCUCGACGAGUCGAGUAGUUUGGGAAUGCUGCUCUAACGGGAGGUAUACUCCUUCCAAGGCUAAAUACCGGCUGGAGACCGAUAGCGCACAAGUAGAGUGAUCGAAAGAUGAAAAGCACUUUGAAAAGAGAGUCAAAUAGCACGUGAAAUUGUUGAAAGGGAAGCGCUCGCUACCAGACAUGGGUUCGGCGGUUCAACCGGGGCCACGCCCCGGGGCACUCCGCCGGCCCAGGCCAGCAUCAGCUUUCCGUCGGGGGCAAAGGCGUCGGGAAUGUGGCUCUCCUUCGGGGGAGUGUUAUAGCCCGGCGUGUCAUACCCUUCGGGGGGCUGAGGUACG